rnacentral:rRNA from 1 species
GUAGUCAUAUGCUUGUCUCAAAGAUUAAGCCAUGCAUGUCUAAGUAUAAGCAAUUAUACAGCGAAACUGCGAAUGGCUCGUUAAAUCAGUUAUCGUUUAUUUGAUAGUACCUUACUACUUGGAUAACCGUGGUAAUUCUAGAGCUAAUACAUGCUAAAAACCCCGACUCACGAAGGGGUGUAUUUAUUAGAUUAAAAGCCAAUGCCCUCCGGGGCUCACUGGUGAUUCAUAAUAACUUGUCGAAUCGCAUGGCCUUGCGCCGGCGAUGGUUCAUUCAAAUUUCUGCCCCAUCAACUUUCGACGGCUGGGUCUUGGCCAGCCAUGGUGACAACGGGUAACGGAGGGUUAGGGCUCGACCCCGGAGAACGAGCCUGAGAAACGGCUAUUACAUCCAAGGAAGGCAGCAGGCGCGCAAAUUACCCAAUACCGACCCGGUGAGGUAGUGACGAUAAAUACUGAUACAGGGCUCUUUUGGGUCUUGUAAUUGGAAUGAGUACAAUUUAAAUCCCUUAACGAGGAACAAUUGGGGGGCAAGUCUGGUGCCAGCAGCC